rnacentral:rRNA from 1 species
UACGGAGGGUGCAAGCGUUAAUCGGAAUUACUGGGCGUAAAGCGUGCGCAGGCGGUUUGUUAAGUCUGUUGUGAAAUCCCCGAGCUCAACUUGGGAAUUGCAAUGGAUACUGGCAGGCUGGAGUAUGGUAGAGGAAGGUGGAAUUCCCGGUGUAGCAGUGAAAUGCGUAGAGAUCGGGAGGAACACCAGUGGCGAAGGCGGCCUUCUGGACCAAUACUGACGCUCAGGCACGAAAGCGUGGGGAGCAAACAGG